UACGUAGGUGGCAAGCGUUAUCCGGAAUUAUUGGGCGUAAAGCGCGCGCAGGUGGUUUCUUAAGUCUGAUGUGAAAGCCCACGGCUCAACCGUGGAGGGUCAUUGGAAACUGGGAGACUUGAGUGCAGAAGAGGAAAGUGGAAUUCCAUGUGUAGUGGUGAAAUGCGUAGAGAUAUGGAGGAACACCAGUGGCGAAGGCGACUUUCUGGUCUGUAACUGACACUGAGGCGCGAAAGCGUGGGGAGCAAACAGGAUUAGAUACCCUUGUAGUCC
rnacentral:rRNA from 1 species